rnacentral:rRNA from 1 species
AUACGGAGGGGGCUAGCGUUAUUCGGAAUUACUGGGCGUAAAGCGCUCGUAGGCGGCUUGUAAAGUCGGAUGUGAAAGCCCUGGGCUCAACCUGGGAACUGCAUUCGAUACUGGCAAGCUAGAGUAUAGUAGAGGCAAGUGGAAUUCCGGGUGUAGCGGUGAAAUGCGUAGAUAUCCGGAGGAACAUCAGUGGCGAAGGCGACUUGCUGGACUAAUACUGACGCUGAGGAGCGAAAGCGUGGGGAGCAAACAGGAUUAGAAACCCCAGUAGUCC